rnacentral:rRNA from 1 species
UACGAAGGGGGCUAGCGUUGUUCGGAAUCACUGGGCGUAAAGCGCACGCAGGCGGCUCGUUAAGUCAGGGGUGAAAUGCUGAGGCUCAACCUCGGAACUGCCUUUGAUACUGGCGAUCUUAGAGUCCGGGAGAGGUGAGUGGAACUCCGAGUGUAGAGGUGAAAUUCGUAGAUAUUCGGAAGAACACCAGUGGCGAAGGCGGCUCACUGGCCCGGUACUGACGCUGAGGUGCGAAAGCGUGGGGAGCAAACAGG